UACGUAGGGUGCGAGCGUUGUCCGGAAUUAUUGGGCGUAAAGAGCUCGUAGGCGGCCUGUCGCGUCGGAUGUGAAAGCCCGGGGCUUAACCCCGGGUCUGCAUUCGAUACGGGCAGACUAGAGGUAGGUAGGGGAGAAUGGAAUUCCCGGUGUAGCGGUGAAAUGCGCAGAUAUCGGGAGGAACACCGGUGGCGAAGGCGGUUCUCUGGGCCUUACCUGACGCUGAGGAGCGAAAGCGUGGGGAGCGAACAGG
rnacentral:rRNA from 1 species